rnacentral:misc_RNA from 1 species
GGGGAUCAGGGUUGGGGGUGGGGUACUGUAAAGCAAAUGCAAAGAAGUGCUGAAUUGUGAUUCCCAAUUCUACUUCCUAAUUGUUCUUCUCUGCUCUCUUCGAUUCACCUGCUCCAGAGGCAGCAAACAUCGAACUCCAUAGCUGAAGCAGAACCCUAGCUCACGCCUUCUCUUUGAUAUUCGCUGUUUGGCAGUGAAAAUGUCAACUCCUUCAAGGAAGA